rnacentral:rRNA from 1 species
UACGUAGGGGGCAAGCGUUGUCCGGAAUCAUUGGGCGUAAAGCGCGUGUAGGCGGCCAGGUAAGUCCGUUCUGAAAGCCCGGGGCUCAACCCCGGGAGGCGGAUGGAUACUGCUUGGCUCGAGUCCGGAAGAGGCGAGUGGAAUUCCCGGUGUAGCGGUGAAAUGCGCAGAUAUCGGGAGGAACACCAAUGGCGAAGGCAGCUCGCUGGGACGGUACUGACGCUGAGACGAGAAAGCGUGGGGAGCAAACAGG